AUGCCGGCUGAGUUCCCGCUCCCCCGCCUCUGCUGGCCACAGACGAGUAAUUACUUAGGAAAAGUUGACCGAUGGCUUGAUGUGAAGAGCUCUUGUGGUUCGCAAGGCGUGGAGCCGGGGACGUCGCGCCCACGUCCCAUGGUGCUCGGCUCUAGGGGAAAAAGGCUGCUCUCGAUGAUCUGUGGCAAAUGUUUCAUCUCUGGCUGGCUCCCUACUGCCACUCAGCACGCCUCCGGAGCUCCUCCCUUUAUCAAAGAGGGGUUCCCGCUGAGAGAUUGCGGCUCCCUUUUCAUUUCAGCCUGA
rnacentral:lncRNA from 1 species